UACGUAGGGUGCAAGCGUUAAUCGGAAUUACUGGGCGUAAAGCGUGCGCAGGCGGUUUUGUAAGUUUGUCAUGAAAGCCCCGGGCUCAACCUGGGAAUUGCGAUGAAGACUGCAAGGCUUGAAUCUGGCAGAGGGGGGUAGAAUUCCACGUGUAGCAGUGAAAUGCGUAGAGAUGUGGAGGAACACCGAUGGCGAAGGCAGCCCCCUGGGUCAAGAUUGACGCUCAUGCACGAAAGCGUGGGGAGCAAACAGG
rnacentral:rRNA from 1 species